CCUACGGGGUGCAGCAGUGAGGAAUAUUGGUCAAUGGGCGGGAGCCUGAACCAGCCAAGUCGCGUGAGGGAAGACGGUCCUAUGGAUUGUAAACCUCUUUAGGCGGGGAGCAAUGCCGGGCACGCGUGCCCGGAGGGAGAGUACCCGCAGAAUAAGCAUCGGCUAACUCCGUGCCAGCAGCCGCGGUAAUACGGGGGAUGCGAGCGUUGUCCGAAUUGAUUGGGUUUAAAGGGUGCGUAGGCGGAUUUUUAAGUCAGCGGUAAAAGGUCCGGGCUCAACCCGGGCCGGCCGUUGAAACUGGGGAUCUUGAGUGGGCGAGAAGUAUGCGGAAUGCGUGGUGUAGCGGUGAAAUGCAUAGAUAUCACGUAGAACUCCGAUUGCGAAGGCAGCAUACCGGCGCACGACUGACGCUGAGGCACGAAAGCGUGGGGAUCGAACAGGAUUAGAUACCCCGGUAGUC
rnacentral:rRNA from 1 species